GACAAGACCAGGUACCUGUCGGGGGAUGCGGCCGUGGUACCAGGCAUGGCUGCGCAGGUCCUCGCUGCUCAGGAGCAGCUCCUCCUCCAGCUCCUUCUUCAGUUUCUCGGGGGUCCUGUCCAUGAUGUGCCUCUCCUUGGAGAACUGCAACACAGAGUCAACCAUGAGCUCACCCUGCCCAGGCCACACCAGGCCAUGCCAGCUGGAGGUGACCGCCUGCUUCACUAAUCCAACCAGUUAUGCUACAGCCUGCAUUCAGGGAGAUGUGGCCACAGGACUCAGUUCUGACCAAGGAGCUGAGAUGUGAUGGCUGGAGACUCAACACCAUUCUGGACGGGCUGGCACUUGGGUUAAAAGAAACAAUGCAAGUGAAAUAUUAAUCGCUGAGUUCAGCAGCAAGAUUACACUCAGUAAUAGUAGUGCUUUCUUAACAUCUUUAAAGAAUGAAAAGAACAAAGACUGCCCUGGCUAAGGCAGACCCUAAUAAAAGAGUUUGAAAACCGG
rnacentral:lncRNA from 1 species